CCUACGGGAGGCAGCAGUGAGGAAUAUUGGUCAAUGGACGAGAGUCUGAACCAGCCAAGUAGCGUGAAGGAUGACUGCCCUAUGGGUUGUAAACUUCUUUUAUAUGGGAAUAAAACAGGGUAUGCAUACCCUCUUGUAUGUACCAUAUGAAUAAGGAUCGGCUAACUCCGUGCCAGCAGCCGCGGUAAUACGGAGGAUCCGAGCGUUAUCCGGAUUUAUUGGGUUUAAAGGGAGCGUAGAUGGGUUGUUAAGUCAGUUGUGAAAGUUUGCGGCUCAACAGUAAAAUUGCAAUUGAUACUGGCAGUCUUGAGUACAGUUGAGGUAGGCGGAAUUCGUGGUGUAGCGGUGAAAUGCGUAGAUAUUAGGAGGAACACCAGUGGCGAAGGCGGCCUGCUGGACGAUGACUGACGUUGAGGCUCGAAAGCGUGGGGAGCAAACAGGAUUAGAUACCCUGGUAGUC
rnacentral:rRNA from 1 species